rnacentral:tRNA from 1 species
GCGCCCAUCGUCUAGCGGUCAGGACAUCGCCCUCUCAAGGCGAAAACACGGGUUCGAUUCCCGUUGGGCGUACCA